UACAGAGGUCCCGAGCGUUGUUCGGAUUCAUUGGGCGUAAAGGGUGCGUAGGCGGCGGGGCAAGUCUGAUGUGAAAUCCCGGGGCUCAACCCCGGAACUGCAUUGGAUACUGCCUUGCUUGAGUACUGGAGAGGGAACUGGAAUUUACGGUGUAGCAGUGAAAUGCGUAGAGAUCGUAAGGAAGGCCAGUGGCGAAGGCGACUCUUUGGUCUGUAACUGACGCUGAGGCGCGAAAGCGUGGGGAGCAAACAGG
rnacentral:rRNA from 1 species